rnacentral:tRNA from 1 species
GUGUCGCUAGCUAAAUUGGUAAAGCAUCAGACUUUUAAUCUGACGAUUUCCGAGUUCGAGUCUCGGGCGACACACCA